UACGUAGGGUGCAAGCGUUACUCGGAAUUACUGGGCGUAAAGCGUGCGCAGGCGGUUUUGCAAGACAGAUGUGAAAUCCCCGGGCUCAACCUGGGAACUGCAUUUGUGACUGCAAGGCUAGAGUACGGCAGAGGGGGAUGGAAUUCCGCGUGUAGCAGUGAAAUGCGUAGAUAUGCGGAGGAACACCAAUGGCGAAGGCAAUCCCCUGGGCCUGUACUGACGCUCAUGCACGAAAGCGUGGGGAGCAAACAGG
rnacentral:rRNA from 1 species